rnacentral:lncRNA from 1 species
CAUAUGGAAGUUCCUGGGCCAGGAAUCAAAUCUGAGCUGCGGCUGUGACCUAUGCCAUAGCUGCAGCAACGCCAGAUCCUUAAUCCACUGCAGGGCCAGGGAUUGAACCUGUGCCUCUGCAAUGACCUGAGCCACUGCAGUCAGGUUCUUAAUCUAUUGCACCACAGCAGGAACUCUUCUUAAUCACACUCACCCACACAAUCAAAUCACCUUUUUCUCUGUCAUGAGCUUUACUCCAUUGCUAGGGACAACUGAGCUUCCCUUAGGUGAGUCAUGUGGCCUUGAUCUAAAAGGCCCCUCAAUCAUUUCAUGUCACUCAAAUCAGGGAGUUUGGCUUCAGUCAGGCUCAUUUGUUUGGCACAUGAGGCGGGGAAACAACAACUAUUUUCUCCAGCUGAGCUCUCGGUCUUUUUUUUUUUUCCAGGGCCUCACCUGUGGCAUAUGGAAGUUCUCAGGUUAGGGUCCAAUCAGAGCCAUAGCCACUGGCCUAUGCCACAGCCAUGUGGGACCUGAGCCACAGCUGGGACCUACACCACAGCCCAAGGCAAUGCUGACGGAUCCUUAACCCACUGAGCGAGGCCAGGGAUCGAACCCAUGUCCUCAUGGAUACUAGCCAGGUUCAUUAACCACUGAGCCAUGAUAGGAACUCCCCUAUUUAAAUGAAUCUUAUGAAUACUGGUCACUUUUGAAGCAGAUGGCCUUGCCUUGACAAUGGACAGAAGUUCAUGGUUAUGAAUGGAAAAAACAGAUUGCUGAGUAGUAUGAAUAAUGUGAUAUAAAUUAUACAAAAUUAGUGACCUUUUGGGGAUGGGGAGUUAAGGGUAGGGUUUGAAAUCCUUGAUGUUUUUUAUACCCUAUGACACUCCUGGAAUUUGUAGCCAUAAGAAUGUAUGACUUUUGUAAUGAAUAGAAAGUUUUAUAAGUUAUUUUAGGAAAAUAAAAGGGUGCAGAAAAGGGACCACACGAAUAAUCUCCCGCCUCCAGCUGUGGAGAAAUAGCCCUGUCCUGGGUCAGGUUCCCCCGAGGCAGAAUCUGAGGUGGGGCUUCACGUGUUGUGAUUUACUGAGGAACCGUCUCAGGAGAAACCGAACGCACAUGAGACAGGAAGGACAGGAAAAAGGAAGUUGGCGUGGAUGCAGCUCCUGGGAAGUCUGGCCUGACCCUUGGGGAGCUCAGGCACAUAAAUGACAGCAGAGUUUGGCCCUCCCUGAAGCAGGGGUGUCCUCGUCUCCCCCUCAGUCCUUAGCAAUAAGUAAUCUCGUGUGUGCAUGUGCCAUGGGGGUGGUAACUCAUGCCCCUCCAGGCAAGCUGCUCUGCCCAACCAAACUCAGGCUCCAGGAGAGGCUGCAAAUGUGAGCUGAAUCUUUCACACCUGCCACAGCUGGGGUGGGACUGCUGGUGGCACAAGGCAGCCCAGCAGAAGCUGGGCCCCGGCCCCUCGCCCAGCGAACGGGGAAUUGAACUGAAACUGGCUUCUUUAUAAGCAACCUUAUCAGCUGUAGAUGGAUUCUUGUGAAAUGCCUUUUUUGUGUGUGGCUAUGGAAAAGUACCGGCUACAGGACAUUUUAAAGGCUAAAAUAUUCAAAUGAGGAGAUUAAGAGUUAAAAAAAAAUGGCUUGGGAGAAUCCAAUCAGACUAAAAGAAAUUUUUUUUUUAAUUUCACAGACUUCUUUUUUUAAAUUGAAGUAUAGUUGAUUUACAAUGUUGGUAGCAAGUGUCCAGCAUGGUGACUCAGGUAUGCACAUACAAAUUCUCUUUCAGAUUCUGUCCCCUUAUAGGUCAUUAUAAAAUAUAUAGUUUCCUGGGCUAUCUAGUAGGUACGGUUGGUUAUUUGUUUUAUAUAUAGUAGUGUGUAUCUGUUAAUCCCAGCCUCCUAAGUGAUCCCUCCCCCCUUUCCCUUUUGGUAACCAUGAAUUUUUCUAUGUUUGUGGGUCUGUUUCGGUUUUAUAAAUAAGUUCAUUUUUAUCGUUAUUUUAGAUCCCACAUAUAAAUGAUAUCAUGUGAUAUUUGUCUUUCUCUGGCUUACUUCACUUCUAUAAUAACCUCUAGGUCCAUCCAUGUUGCUGCAAAUGGCAUUAUUUAGUUCUUUUUAAUGGCCGAGUAAUAUCCUAUUGUAUAUAUGUGCCACAUCUUCUUUAUCCGUUCAUCUGUCAAUGGACAUUUAGGUUGCUUCCAUGUCUUGGCGACUGUAAUACUUGUACUGCUUUGUGCUGCAAUGAACAUUGGGGUGCAGGUAUCUUUGAAUUGGUACAGCCACUAUGGAGAACAGUAUGGAGGUUCCUUUAAAAACUAAAAAUAGAGUUCCCAUAUGAUCUUGCAAUCCCACUCCUGGGCAUAUAUCCAAAGAAAAGUAUAAUCCAGAUGCAAGAUUCUUGCAAUUGGGAAAAUCAUUAGAAGGAGUCAGCACUGCCAGUCAGGGCAGAGCUGUUCAGCAGAGGCAGUGAAUGUUCUAACCUGGGUAUCCAUGGUUUCCUGUGGGUGGGGGUGUUUUUUUGGUAAACUUUAUGGACAAUGUGUAUCUUAUCAUUGAUUAUCUCUCCCUUGCUGCUUGAGUGGCUGAGAACAUUCAAAGCCAGAUUUGAACCUCAGACUAAGUAACCCAGGGACUGUGGCAAAUUAAUAAAAAGCAGGGACUGAUCUUAGAGGGGUGAACUGUAAGGUCGAACAUUUGCUGGGCUGCCUUGACAUCUGAGCUUCACAGAGGCCCAAAGGCCUAGCUCUGAGUUCCCUGCUUUCAGAUCGGCCCCCUGCCCAGCUCCCCACCCCGCUAAUUCCCCUAUCAGUCAGACUGGCCACACCCCACCCUGUCCUCAACCUAACGGGUUUCACCUCCUUCCAGCCUGUGAAAUUACUGAGACAAACCCAUUACAUCCUCCUGCAGAACCAGAGGCUACCCCACCCUCUUAUUACUAUAAACAUGACCGCGAUAGCCCUGGUGGUUCACUCCGUUCCUGCCUGCAACUCCAUGAGGCCCCACACAGCAUGUCACAUCCCCCACCCCAACCCCCCAGGCUCUGAGUCUAUGUGACUCAUAAAAUGCUGUCAAUCGCAUCUGUUCAGGGUCAGGUGCUGUGUGUUUGGCCACACCGUUUAGGGUGGGGAACCCCCUCGCUCCCCAAUGGAAGGAAUAAGAGGUGAUCAGAAUAGAGGGACUUCGUGUCAUGAGGCUUUACAGGAGCCUGACUGGAACGUGCCAUCCGUGUGAACCCUCAGUACCACACCCGGUGUACAAACCUGCAGAAACUACCAGUUGCCUUGUCUUUGCCGAUGAAGUGGGGCUAUACUGCCAUACAAUGCAGAAAAGAAAGUUUUAAACUUUAAAAGCGAACUGACCUAACAGAGGAGGAGUUCUAGGGAAACAAUAGAAGAUGUAUUUGAAAACACUCACCUCCUAUUCCUCGUUUGCUAAAUAGCAAAAUAAUGUCUCCCAAGGUAUCCGAGAUAACUUGGCUGCUCUGAUACCCGCUGACCUGAAACCCAACUAUUGAAAUUCCAUCUCUGUUUUCUUCUUAGUUCCAUACUCACAAAAAGAAAAAUUACUCCUAGAAUCAAAAAGCAAGAUCGUCUGUUAAUUCAUUUUUCUAGAACCUGCACUGCAAACUCAUCCAUCCACCUGUUCUAUGGAGCAGAAUCUGCCUAGAGCAGGCCCCUGAUAGCUGUCGGCCCCUGUGGACAAAGUCCACACCGUGGUAAUCCCACUGGUUUAAGAACAGGCAGAGUGUCCCAAGGCCUGGAGGAUUCUCUCCCCAGGGUACUCAGGGAAGGCUCUACGGAACGGACUGUACUGACUUCAUAGCCUCCACCUAAAAAUGUCCAUAAAGAGAGGGAGCACGAGAUUUGGUUACACGAACUGGAAGCUACUGACCACUUUGCUUCUUCAUGCUAAACCAGACAGAAAUGACAUGAAAUACUGGAGGUGACAUCAUAUUGCCUCAUGGUCACACGAGAUGGGACAGUCCUAAGUCAGUCCGUGCCUCCUAUGUGGCCCUUGAACCCACGAAAUCAAAAUCGGCCGGGGGGGGGGGCGGUCCACGCAAAUCAGAAGACCUGGGGCUGUGGUUCUGCAUUUUAAGCAAACCCACGGGUAGUUCUGAUGUGUGCUGAGGUCUGAGAACCUCUAGUGCAUCUGACCCCUGUGAAAUGAUCCCACUCUCCUGUGUCAACAGCCAUCUGGACAGACUGGGGCAAAGAAUCGGAUUGAGAUGGCUCCGAGCAUGGUGCCCACUGUAGCAACUUCAGUGACUUCCGUGUAUACGUUCUCUCUUCUGCCAUCUUUUCUCAGAAGAGAACAACUGAUUAUCCUUCCAAGUCAUAUGGAUCCAUUCUUUGCGUUUUCAUAACGUCUGGAAACAUCAGCUGUGACCUUAUUCUUUCCCUGCAAUACCCCUGCUUUACACAGUCCCGCAGAGGGGGAGGGGAGCUGUUUCGGGUCAGACUUGGGGCCUUUGGUCUGCAGGUAUAGGCACCCCACUUAGUGUCAGCACAGAAUGUCACAGCCCUGCCAGCAACCACAGCUGUGAGCCUGCCACGCUCAUCCUCUGUCAAAAGCCCAGAUGAGGGAA